rnacentral:rRNA from 1 species
AGAGUUUGAUCCUGGCUCAGAGCGAACGCUGGCGGCAUGCUUAACACAUGCAAGUCGCGCGGCCGGCAACGGCAGCGGCGGACGGGUGAGUAACGCGUGGGGAUCUGUCUCCGGGUGGGGGAUAACGAUGGGAAACUAUCGCUAAUACCGCAUGAAACCCGAGGGUCAAAGCAGCGAUGCGCCUGGAGAGGAACCCGCGU